rnacentral:rRNA from 1 species
AUGAGUUUGAUCAUGGCUCAGAUUGAAUGAGCCGCGGCAGGCCUAACACAUGCAAGUCGAGCGGUAGCACAAGAGAGCUUGCUCUCUGGGUGACGAGCGGCGGACGGGUGAGUAAUGUCUGGGAAACUGCCUGAUGGCGGGGGAUAACUAGUGGAAACGGUAGCUAAUACCGCAUAACGUCGCAAGACCAAAGUGGGGGACCUUCGGGCCUCACGCCAUCAGAUGUGCCCAGGUGGGAUUAGCUGGUAGGUGGGGUAACGGCUCACCUAGGCGACGAUCCCUAGCUGGUCUGAGAGGAUGACCAGCCACACUGGAACUGAGACACGGUCCAGACUCCUACGGGAGGCAGCAGUGGGGAAUAUUGCACAAUGGGCGCAAGCCUGAUGCAGCCAUGCCGCGUGUGUGAAGAAGGCCUUCGGGUUGUAAAGCACUUUCAGCGAGGAGGAAGGGUAAUGUGUUAAUAAGACAUUGCAUUGACGUUACUCGCAGAAGAAGCACCGGCUAACUCCGUGCCAGCAGCCGCGGUAAUACGGAGGGUGCAAGCGUUAAUCGGAAUUACUGGGCGUAAAGCGCACGCAGGCGGUUUGUUAAGUCAGAUGUGAAAUCCCCGCGCUCAACGUGGGAACGGCAUUUGAGACUGGCAAGCUAGAGUCUUGUAGAGGGGGGUAGAAUUCCAGGUGUAGCGGUGAAAUGCGUAGAGAUCUGGAGGAAUACCGGUGGCGAAGGCGGCCCCCUGGACAAAGACUGACGCUCAGGUGCGAAAGCGUGGGGAGCAAACAGGAUUAGAUACCCUGGUAGUCCACGCUGUAAACGAUGUCGAUUUGGAGGUUGCGCCCUUGAGGGGUGGCUUCCGUAGCUAACGCGUUAAAUCGACCGCCUGGGGAGUACGGCCGCAAGGUUAAAACUCAAAUGAAUUGACGGGGGCCCCCACAAGCGGUGGAGCAUGUGGUUUAAUUCGAUGCAACGCGAAGAACCUUACCUACUCUUGACUUCCAAAGAACUUUCCGGAAUUGGUAGUGGUCCUCUUGGGGACUUCGGAUAAGGUUGUGUGGU